GACGAACGCUGGCGGCGUGCUUAACACAUGCAAGUAGGACGCAGUUGCGAACGGGUGAGUAACGCGUAGGUAACUACCUAUUAGAGGGGGCUAACUAUUGGAAACGAUAGCUAAUACCGCAUACUAGUAGAUGGACCUGCGUUGUAUUAGCUAGUAGGUAGGGUAAUGGCCUACCUAGGCAACGAUACAUAGCCGACCUGGGAGGGUGAUCGGGCAAACAUGGAUUGAGACACGGCCCAGACUCCUACGGGAGGCAGCAGUAGGGAAUCUUCGGCAAUGGGGGGAACCGUGAACGAGCAACGGCGCGGGAGUGAGGAGGGUUUUGGGAUCGUAAAGCUCUGUUGUUAAGGAAGCGGUACUUAAACAGAAAGGGACGGCUAACUACGUGCCAGCAGCCGCGGUAAUUC
rnacentral:rRNA from 1 species